UGUCCCGGUUUUACAGAAGAAAGCAAGGCCUGCUUAGGUAACAUACAUGGCCAAGGUUGGCAGUAGGACACCACAGGGCCAGAAUCCCUAUCUUCCCAACUUGCCCAACCUUUCUCACCUGGACAUUAGCUGAGUGCAUGUGUUCCAUCCUAAUUAUCCUUAAAAUUAUCAAUGAAGACAUGCUCCAGGGAGAAAAGACAGCAAAGAUGCUACAGAGCAAUGCUGCCCCUGAGUGACCAAGAACAGUGCUCCCCUCUUGGCCUUGUUAGAAAUAGGCUGGGGGCAGACAGAGGGCCUUGUGGCCAGCCACUAAGCAAUCCCCAUGGCUGUCCUAUUUCAUCUGAGGGUCUCUAGUUAUGAGAGAGACUCUGAAGUGCUGGGGAUGGGAGGCAGCCCUGGGAUCCAGUCCAGGCUGGUAUGACUUUGGGAAUGUCACUUCCUUCCCAUGGGCCUCAGUUUCCCCAUCUGUAAAAUGACAGGAGCUGGGGCUGGACCAGCUCAUCUUUAAGGGCUCUUCCAGGCUUGGUUAUUAACGUCACUUAAAUAUUUUACAGUUUGUAACCAUCUUACUUGAUCCUCUGACCCAGCACCUCUCAACCUAUUUUCUGUUGGCCCUCAUGUGACAGGGUUGUCAGACAUGUGACAUUUCCAUGGGCUACUUUCAUAUUCUAUCCCUCCCUCCUCUAUUAGCAUGCAAAUGAGGAAAGAUGCCAUUGUUGCAGGUUGGCCCUGGAUAUACUCUAAGUAGAAUGAUUUUUAACUCAAAUCAUUGGAAAUAUCAGUGCUUUUUCAUCAGCAAAUAAUUACAUUGCCAGGCUUCUCCUAACUGAUUCUGACCCACAAGUUUGUCUAGACACUGUAGAUCAAAGCCAUAGCUGUAACAAGCCCAAGAGGAGACAGCACUGGCUUCAGUUCCUGUAAGGAGCUAAAGCAAAUGAUAUUUUAAUAACUAAUGUCAACAUUUCUCCUAUGAUGGGAAAUGUAUUUUAAUAUGGUCUGAACUGGGGGAAGUAAGAUGCUGAGGACUUUGGAAGGCAGGACUUUCAAGAGGAGAGCUUGACUGCCCUGCACAGACUGCCUGGGAGAGAGGAGGGGAGGGCAGAGGCCAGCAGAGAGGUGAGGAAAGGAGCCAGCAAGGGUGUGGAAGGCUCUGCUAUGUCGGAUGGCUCUUUGACCUGUGCUUCUCGUGGUUUCAGAUACUCUCCUAAACUCCCCAGUGGAGUGUGUGUGUGUGUGUGUGUGAGAGAGAGAGAGAGAGAGAGAUGAAUCCAGCAAAUGAGGCUUUUGGACAACACAUAUUCUUAGGGCAGAAGCCAAAAAGCAGGGCAGAUGAUGAGACUUCAAACUCCUGAAAAUUUGUAGAAAUCUUAGAAGGCUCUAAAGUGCUCCAGUCCAUGGGACUGGGGGCUUCAGGCAACCCCAGCUACACCUGCAGUGCUGUCAAGGCCCCUUUUGGCACGGGGCUUUUCACCCAUUUUGCAGAUGAACAGCCAAGAGGGCUUCCCCAAACUGAGCAAAGCUGCCUCCUUCCUUCUACUGGAUCCUGGCUAGAUAUUUGUUCCCUAUGGACCCCUGAUCCUAAGUCCCUCCAUCUUCUCUUUCAAGUCCAUACUUAAUCACCAACUGAGUAAAUCCCUGGACAAUUCUAGCUUUGGCCCUUUCACAACAUUAAUUUAUUUGGGUUUUUGUUUUGAAAUAAUUUUAGAUUUACAAGAGUUAUAAAAAUAGUAAGAGAGUUUCCACAGGCAAUGUGCCCAGUUCACUUUAAUGUUAACAUCUUCCAUAACAUUUAUCUCAACUAAGAACAUUCAUUGGACACUAGUGAACUACUCAUAGUGCACUGACUUUAUUUGAAUUUCAUCAGCUUUUUCACGAAUGUCCUCUUUCUGUUCUAGGCUCCCAUCCAGGACACCACAUUGCAUUUAGUCAUGAUAGAUCCUUGGUCUCCAGGCUGUGAAUGCUCCCCAGUCUUUUCUUAUUUUUUAUGUUGAAUACCAUACAUUUUGGCUGUCCAUUUAUGCAUUUAUUGACUCAUCCAAUUGACCCAUCAACUCAUGUGGUUUCAGGCCCAGUGCCAGGUAUUGGGAACUCAGAAAUGAACCAGCUGAGGUCCCUGACCUCAAGUUGCUCAAAGACAAGGAGACUAGCAAGAGGCAGACCAUGAAAUCGGAGUGAGAAACACCACAGCAGGGGAAGGCACAGGCAGCAAGAGCUGAGCCUAUGUGUGUGCAUGGAAGGACUGGAGUCUGGAGCUGAAGCACAGAGCACCAGAGGGACAGCUCACCUUCCAGGCGCAUUUGCGAUUGUGUAAGGAUCUCGGUCAAUGAAGCAUCCCCACAGAGUAGACAAGCACCACUGUCCCAUGUUCAGGUCCACUCUUCAACAGUGAUGCAUAUGCUAUGUCUAUGGUGGGCAGGACUUGUAGGUUGAAUUUUGCACCCUUCACACCCAAAGGAAGAUUGAAGCCCUCAUCCCCAGUAUCUGUGAAUGUGAUGUUAUUUGGAAAUAGGGUGUUUACAAAUGUAAUCCAGUUGAGGUGAGGUCAUACUGGAUUAGAAUAUACCAUAAUCCAAUGACCAAUGUACUUAUAAAAUGAAAGAAAUCUGGACACAGAUACAUAGGGAGAACACCAGGUGACAAGGGAAGCAGAAACCAAAAUGAUGUGUCUACAAGCCAAGGAACACCAAGGAUUGCUGGCAACCAGCAAAAGCUAGAAAGAGCAAGGAAAGAUCUUUCCCUAGAGCGUUCAGAGAGAGCCUGGCCCAGCUAACAUCUUGAUUUUGGACUUGCAGCCCUCAGAACUGUGAGACAAUAAUUUCUGUUGUUCUAAGCCACCGGUUUGAGUAAUUUGUUACAGCAGCCUAGGAAAGGAACACAGCGGUUUCUGUGAUGUCUCCCAGUGAUCCCCAGCUCUUGGUAUUCAUGCCCUGGUAAAAUCCCCUCAUGCUGAUCGUGAGCUAAACUCAGUGACUCACUGCUAGCAAACAGAAUAAAGCAGAAGGGAUAGAUAACACUUCUGAGAUCAGACUAUUAAAGACUGUGGCUUCAGGCAUGCAUACACAUUCUCUCUUUGUCUCUCUCUGAUUCUUCUUGUUUACUUCCUCCGAUGAAUCAAGUUGCCAUGUUGUGAACUGUCAUAUGGAGAGUCCCGGGGUUAAGGAACCAGGGUGGCUUCUGGUCAACAGUCAGCAAGUUGCCUAGGUCUUCAGUCCAAUGCCCAUGAGGAAUGGAAUCCCGCCAACAGCGACAUUGACUAGCUUGGAAACAAAUCCUUUUCUAGUCGAGCUUUGAAUGCUGCCUGGUGAGAGACCUUGAGCCAGAGACUCCUACUAAGCUGAGCCCAGAUUCCUGACCCAUGGGAACUGUGAGAUAAUAAAUGUCCUAAGCCACUAAGUUUUGGGGUAAUUUGUUAAGCAUCACUAGAUAAUAGGUAACAAUCUAAUAGGAGCACUGGUAAUUAGCUCCAAUGUGCAUUUUCUUCCACCAAGCAAUUAACUGAGUUCUGACACUAGCUACCUGGAGAUAGCAUCAGAUUCAACAGGUUAAAGGCUCAGUCCUACAAGACUGUCCUCUCCCAAUUACUUCUGAUGCUUAUUGCAAGUCCAGGUUGUCACCUGUGCUUCUGACCAACUGACUACAAAUCGGAGGUUCUCACAACCCCUUGGGUUUAACUAAUUUGCUAGAGAGUCUCAUGAAACUCAGGAAAACAGUUUGUUUACUAGUUUACCAGUUUAUUACAAAAGGCUAUAACUCAGGAACAGCUAGAUGGAAGACACAUAGGACAAGUAUGGGGAAAAGGCACAGAGCUUCCAUGCCUUCUCCAGGUGUGCCAGUCUCCCCAAAUGUCCCUGUGUUUCCCAACCCAGAAGCCCUCUGAGUCCUGUCUUUUUGGGUUUCUAUGGUGGCUUCAUUACACAGGCAUGAUAGAUUAAAUCAUUGGCCACUGGAGACUGAACUCAAUCUCCAGCUCUUCUCCCCUCCCAGGGCAUCUGGGGGUGGGACUGAAGUUCCAACCUCUAAUCACAUGGCUGAUGCCCUUGGCAACCAGCUCCCAUCCUUAGGUAAGGUCCAAAAGUCACUUCAUUAACAUAACAAAAGACACCUUUAUUGCUCUCCUUUCAAGGGUUUUUGGAGCUCUGUGCCAGGAAUGGGAUGAAGACCAGAUAUAUAUUUCUUAUCAUAAAUCAUACUAUCCCAUCAGCAGUGGUAGAUUGCAGCCAAGUAGAAAUGUAGGCUCUUUUUUACCAAUCUGAAGGUUUUCCCUUCAGAGGUUUCAAGGGAGGUUGAAAAUCUACAUUUUUUUUAACAUGCACAAUGUCCAAUUAAAGCACUGUUUAAUUUUGUCACCCACUCCCCACUCCCUCAGAUAUUUGGCAGUGUCUGGAAACAUUUUUUAAUAUCAUAACCAGAGGGCACUACUGGCUUCUAGUGGCUAGAGAUGCUGCGAAACAUCCCACAUACUCAGGAGAGCACCAUGCCACCCCACCAGCAAAGAAAUGUCCGGUCUAAAAUAUCAAUAAUGCCAUUGUUGAAAAACCCUGAAUGACAGAAACACUGAUUGAACCAAACAAACAAGUCAGAUGACCAGAUUUGCUGGCAGCUUUCAAGUGCUGGUCUCACCUGGAAAUUCUUCACAUCAGCCCUUAGGAAGAAGGAUGUAUCAAUGAAGAUUCAGUUAGGAAAACAGAAACCAUGCUAGACAUUUCAAACAGAGAAGACUUAAUACAGGAGACUGAUUAAUUGAGUGUUGAAAAUAUGGAAGAGCAAAAAGGGAAUGUGGCCAGAACUCACUUGCAUGACCAUACCGACACAAGAGAGGCCACAAAAGUUGAUCUAACUAUGGACCCAGGCGGCAAGGAAUAAUUACCCACCUUUGUCAAAGACACCUACCUGUGCCAGGUGUUUUACAUACAUUACCCGUAAGAAGGAAGGGGCCUCAUUUAUACUUCCAAGUCCCUUCAUCCCAAAUUCUAAGCAUCUUCUGUCUUCUCCAGGCCAAGCAGAAGCAAAGAUACUUAAGUGGCAGAAAAAUGUGCAAGGCUGUAAUCAUCUUCUCCAAUAAAAAAAAUUAUUGUUCUUGUGCAUAACUGAGUGUUUACUACAUGUUUGCUGUGCUUUGCAUAAUUUGUGUCACUGAA